UCAGAUAUUUUCCAGUUUCCCCUCACAACAAUUUGCAUCAAACCUCUUGUCUGCUCCUCAGCUGAAAUCAUCAUCUAGCAGUCACAAUAGUUGAGCGGUUGGAGAGGCAUGCAUUGCGUCCUACUACUGCUCAGACUAUAUUAUGUUUGGCAGACAAAACAUGCUGAUCAAAAAGAAUGUGUACCACAGGGGCCAGUGUUUCCAUUUGAGUGAUUGACAAGAAGAAGAAGAGAUGAGAAAUGUUAUCAUCAUAUUUUAGUCCCUACAUUUAUAGUGUACAGCUCAAUGUAUUGAACCGGUGUUGUAGAAUAUAAUUGGAGAUACAUGCGAACAUUAUAACAUUAUAUAUAAGAUGAUAUUUCAAAAGCAAUAAGAAAUAAAAAGUAUACAAAGGUCAAAACAGUAAACCUUGUGUUUACAGUGGACAGGUUUAAAGUGGAAGUGACUAGUUAACUGUUGAUCAUAAGCUGCACUGAUGGAAAAAAUAGUGGGAAAUUACUAUCUAGAAAACUGUUUAACGUACGACAACAGUUGUGGAACUUCAUAAAUGACCGUAUGUAACAGGGCUGGGCAGUUUUCCUUAUAUAGCUAUAGUGAAACCUUUUGAACACUAGUGAAGUCACUGUUUUUUUUCCAAUCUUCAUGCAUUUUGGUCGAAUAUUUGUUCAAAUGAUGGCUCAGUCCAGUUUCGAAAUUUUUAUGUCUAUUAAAAAAACAUAUCCACUAGAGCACGAGGCAAUUGUCUUUAUAUGGCUUUAAUGAAACCUUGUAAAUUCUCUAGAAGUGACAUUUUUAGCCAUAUCUCCAUAAAUUUUGGUCAGAAUAUUUAUUCUAAUGAUAGCUCAGUUGUCGAGUUUGUAACUGGUUCCGGUUUGUAGACUAACAUGGCUGCCAGUGGACAUGACAGUUUUUAGC